rnacentral:rRNA from 1 species
GACGAACGCUGGCGGCGUGCCUAAUACAUGCAAGUAGAACGCUGAAGAGAGGAGCUUGCUCUUCUUGGAUGAGUUGCGAACGGGUGAGUAACGCGUAGGUAACCUGCCUGGUAGCGGGGGAUAACUAUUGGAAACGAUAGCUAAUACCGCAUAAUAGCAGUUGUUGCAUGAUAACUGUUUGAAAGGUGCAAUUGCACCACUACCAGAUGGACCUGCGUUGUAUUAGCUAGUUGGUGGGGUAACGGCUCACCAAGGCGACGAUACAUAGCCGACCUGAGAGGGUGAUCGGCCACACUGGGACUGAGACACGGCCCAGACUCCUACGGGAGGCAGCAGUAGGGAAUCUUCGGCAAUGGACGGAAGUCUGACCGAGCAACGCCGCGUGAGUGAAGAAGGUUUUCGGAUCGUAAAGCUCUGUUGUAAGAGAAGAACGAGUGUGAGAGUGGAAAAGUUCACACUGUGACGGU